rfam:Danio rerio chromosome 19, GRCz11 reference primary assembly.
ACCGGCAGCUAGCUCUCUGCAACUCUCACAUGGUCGCCCACUGAAGCUAAGCAGGGCUGCGCCCGGUCAGUACCUGGAUGGGAGACCACUUGGGAAAGCUAGGUUGCUGCCGGAA